UACGAACUGUGCAAACGUUAUUCGGAUUCACUGGGCUUAAAGGGUGCGUAGGCGGCUUGCCAAGUAGGGUGUGAAAGCCCCCGGCUUAACCGGGGAAUUGCGCCCUAAACUGGCGAGCUGGAGUGAGAUAGGGGUGUGUGGAACUUCCGGUGGAGCGGUGAAAUGUGUUGAUAUCGGAAGGAACGCCGGUGGCGAAAGCGACACACUGGGUCUCAACUGACGCUGAGGCACGAAAGCCAGGGAGCGAACGGG
rnacentral:rRNA from 1 species